GUGGAGAAGCUACUAAGAGCUUACGGCGGAUGCCUUGGCGUCAAAUGCCGAUGAAGGACGUGGGACACUGCGAUAAGCCUCGGGGAGCUGUGAACAAGCGAUAUAUCCGGGGAUGUCCGAAUAGGGAAACCUGCUGGUGCGAACCACCAGCAUCGUAUAUUGAACACAUAGAUAUACGAGGGGAACCAUGGGAACUGAAACAUCUAAGUACCAUGAGGAAAAGAGAUCAUUCUCCAAGUAGUGGCGAGCGAACGGGGAACAGCCUAAACCGAUCCAGUAUACUGGUCGGGGUUGUAGGGUCUGGCGACUAAGAGUUACAAAACGAGACGAUAGCAGAAUUGGUACGGAAUAGCCAACCAUAGAAGGUGAUAGUCCUGUACGCGAAAUCGUCGAGUCUCUCGCUGGAUACCUGAGUACAGCCGGGCACGCUAAUCCGGCUGGAAUCUGGGGAGUCCACUCUCUAAGGCUAAAUACAUUUGAUGACCGAUAGUGAACAAGUACCGUGAGGGAAAGGUGAAAAGUACCCCUGUUAGGGGAGUGAAAAGAACCUGAAACCGUAAGCUUACAAACAAUCGAAGGGCUAAUGGCGUGUUGGUGCUAAGGCGAAAGCCUGUGUGCAGCGCUAUGCCUGACGGUGUGCCUUUUGGAGAAUGAGUCUGCGAGUUAAUCUUUGUGGCAAGGUUAAGGAAGUUACAUCCGAAGCCGCAGCGAAAGCGAGUCUGAAUAGGGCGUGCAGUCGCAAGGAUUAGACACGAAACCAGGUGAGCUAACCAUGGUCAGGUUGAAGCGAGUGUAACAACUCGUGGAGGACCGAACCUACUAAUAUUGCAAAAUUAGGGGAUGAACUGUGGUUAGGGGUGAUAUGCCAAACGAACUUGGAGAUAGCUUGUUCUCCCCGAAAUAGCUUUAGGGCUAGCGUUAAGCGUUUAGUAACGGAGGUAGAGCACUGAAUGGGUAAGGGGGCUUAUUGCUUACCGAGCCUAAUCAAACUCCGAAUGCCGUUACUCCAAGCUUAGCAGUCGGACUCCGGGGGAUGAGCUUCGGGGUCGAGAGGGAAAGAGCCCAGAUCAACAGCUAAGGUCCCUAAAUUUGUACUAAGUGGGAAACGAGGUGAGGUUACUGAAACAACCAGGAGGUUGGCUUAGAAGCAGCCACCCUUUAAAAAGUGCGUAAUAGCUUACUGGUCGAGUGAUCUUGCGCGGAAAAUUCAACGGGGCUAAGUACAAUACCGAAGCUUUGGAGCCACACAAUGUGUGGUUGGUAGGGGAGCGUUCUGCUUGCAUUGAAGGUCGAUCGGAAGGACGGCUGGAGCGGGCAGAAGUGAGAAUGCAGACAUGAGUAGCGUAAAACACGUGAGAACCGUGUUCGCCGUAUAUCUAAGGUUUCCGACGCCAGGUCAAUCCGCGUCGGGUUAGUCAGGACCUUAGCCGAGGCCGAGAGGCGUAGGCGAUGGACAGCCGGUCAACAUUCCGGCACCACUUAAGAGGAGUGAUGGAGGGACGCAACGAGGUAGGCCAGCCCGCGAUUGGUUGUGCGGGUGCAUUGUAUGUCAGCCGUUGAGGACUGUAGGAAAAUCCGCAGACCGAGGUGAGAUACCGUGACGAGCCCAUGAGGCGUAAGUGAGUUGAGCCUUGUUGCCGAGAAAAGCUUCUAAACGAUGAAUCUUAAGUGCCUGUACCGCAAACCGACACUGGUAGAUGGGUAGAGUAUACCAAGGCGAACGGGAGAACCUUUGUUAAGGAACUAGGCAAUUUGGCCCCGUAACUUCGGGAUAAGGGGUGCCCCCUGAGGUGAGUGAAUAUGAGCUUCGGGGGGUCGCAGUGAAUUGGUUCUAGGGACUGGUUACCAAAACCACAGGUCUCUGCAAAGCCGUAAGGCGAUGUAUAGGGGCUGACACCUGCCCAGUGCCGGAAGGUUAAAGGGAGAGGUUAGGCGCAAGCCGAAGCUUUGAACUGAAGCCCCGGUGAACGGCGGCCGUAACUAUAACGGUCCUAAGGUAGCGAAAUUCCUUGUCGGGUAAGUUCCGACCCGCACGAAUGGCGUAACGACU
rnacentral:rRNA from 1 species